rnacentral:rRNA from 1 species
GAGUAUCUUCCUGAGAGGGCGGACUACACCCUUUGCGAACAUACCUAUAACUGUUGCUUCGGCGGGUAGGGUCUCCGCGACCCUCCCGGCCUCCCGCCUCCGGGCGGGUCGGCGCCCGCCGGAGGAUAACCAAACUCUGAUUUAACGACGUUUCUUCUGAGUGGUACAAGCAAAUAAUCAAAACUUUUAACAACGGAUCUCUUGGUUCUGGCAUCGAUGAAGAACGCAGCGAAAUGCGAUAAGUAAUGUGAAUUGCAGAAUUCAGUGAAUCAUCGAAUCUUUGAACGCACAUUGCGCCCGCCAGCAUUCUGGCGGGCAUGCCUGUUCGAGCGUCAUUUCAACCCUCAAGCUCUGCUUGGUGUUGGGGCCCUACAGCUGAUGUAGGCCCUCAAAGGUAGUGGCGGACCCUCUCGGAGCCUCCUUUGCGUAGUAACUUUACGUCUCGCACUGGGAUCCGGAGGGACUCUUGCCGUAAAACCCCCAAUUUUCCAAAGGUUGACCUCGGAUCAGGUAGGAAUACCCGCUGAACUUAAGCAUAUCAAUUAAGCAGAGG